GAUCCUGGCUCAGGAUGAACGCUGGCGGCGUGCCUAACACAUGCAAGUCGAGCGAUCUCUUCGGAGAGAGCGGCGGACGGGUGAGUAACGCGUGGGUAACCUGCCCUGUACACACGGAUAACCAUACCGAAAGGUAUGCUAAUACGGGAUAAUAUAUAAGAGUCGCAUGACUUUUAUAUCAAANAUUUUUCGGUACAGGAUUGGGACCCGCGUCUGAUUAGCUUGUUGGCGGGGUAACGGCCCACCAAGG
rnacentral:rRNA from 1 species